rnacentral:rRNA from 1 species
GAGUUUGAUCCUGGCUCAGGAUGAACGCUGGCGGCGUGCCUAACACAUGCAAGUCGAGCGAGAACUUAUGUAAAGAAACUUCGGUAGAUUUACAAAAGGGAAAGCGGCGGACGGGUGAGUAACGCGUAGGCAACCUGCCCCAUACAGGGGGAUAGCCACCGGAAACGGUGAUUAAUACCUCAUAAAGCAUAGAUAACACAUGUUAAAGAUGUCAAAGAGAAUUCGGUAUGGGAUGGGCCUGCGUCUGAUUAGUUAGUUGGUGAGGUAACGGCUCACCAAGGCGACGAUCAGUAGCCGACCUGAGAGGGUAGGCGGCCACAUUGGAACUGAGACACGGUCCAGACUCCUACGGGAGGCAGCAGUGGGGAAUAUUGCACAAUGGGCGAAAGCCUGAUGCAGCAACGCCGUGUGAAUGAAGAAGGCCUUAGGGUCGUAAAAUUCUGUCCUAAGGGAAGAAAAAGAUGACGGUACCUUAGGAGGAAGCCCCGGCUAACUACGUGCCAGCAGCCGCGGUAAUACGUAGGGGGCAAGCGUUAUCCGGAAUUAUUGGGCGUAAAGAGUACGUAGGUGGCUAUAUAAGCGCAUGGUGAAAGGCAGAGGCUUAACCACUGUUAGCCUUGCGAACUGUAUAGCUUGAGUGCAGGAGAGGGAAGCGGAAUUCCUAGUGUAGCGGUGAAAUGCGUAGAUAUUAGGAGGAACACCAGUGGCGAAGGCGGCUUUCUGGACUGUAACUGACACUGAGGUACGAAAGCGUGGGGAGCAAACAGGAUUAGAUACCCUGGUAGUCCACGCCGUAAACGAUGAGCACUAGGUGUCGGUAUCGUAAGAUAUCGGUGCCGAAGUUAACGCAUUAAGUGCUCCGCCUGGGGAGUACGCACGCAAGUGUGAAACUCAAAGGAAUUGACGGGGACCCGCACAAGCAGCGGAGCAUGUGGUUUAAUUCGAAGCAACGCGAAGAACCUUACCAGGACUUGACAUCCCUCUGAAAUCCCGAGUAAAGUUGGGAGUUCUACGGACAGAGGAGACAGGUGGUGCAUGGUUGUCGUCAGCUCGUGUCGUGAGAUGUUGGGUUAAGUCCCGCAACGAGCGCAACCCUUGUCAUUAGUUACCAGCGGAUAGAGCCGGGGACUCUAAUGAGACUGCCGUGGAUAACACGGAGGAAGGUGGGGAUGACGUCAAAUCAUCAUGCCCCUUAUGUUCUGGGCUACACACGUGCUACAAUGGUCGGUACAAAGAGAAGCGAGCCUGUGAAGGUAAGCAAAACUAAAAAACCGAUCCCAGUUCGGAUUGCAGGCUGAAACUCGCCUGCAUGAAGAUGGAGUUGCUAGUAAUCGCAGAUCAGAAUGUUGCGGUGAAUGCGUUCCCGGGUCUUGUACACACCGCCCGUCACACCAUGGAAGUUGGGGGUGCCCGAAGUCGGUUAGUAAAUAUACUGCCUAAGGCAAAACCAAUGACUGGGGUGAAGUCGUAACAAGGUAGCCGUAUCGGAAGGUGCGGCUGGAUCACCUCCUU